CUCUUUCUUCCAGUAGGACUAGAAACCAUAGCUGUUAUGCCUCUUUCUCCCCAUAGGACUAGAAACCUGUUCCUCUUUCUCCCAGUAGGACUAGAAACCUGUUCCUCUUUCUCCCAGUAGGACUAGAAACCUGUUCCUCUUUCUCCCAGUAGGACUAGAAACCUGUUCCUCUUUCUUCCAGUAGGACUAGAAACCAUAGCUGUUAUGCCUCUUUCUCCCAGUAGGACUAGAAACCUGUUCCUCUUUCUCCCAGUAGGACUAGAAACCUGUUCCUCUUUCUCCCAGUAGGACUAGAAACCUGUUCCUCUUUCUCCCCAUAGGACUAGAAACCUGUUCCUCUUUCUCCCAGUAGGACUAGAAACCUGUUCCUCUUUCUCCCAGUAGGACUAGAAACCUGUUCCUCUUUCUCCCAGUAGGACUAGAAACCUGUUCCUCUUUCUCCCAAUAGGACUAGAAACCUGUUCCUCUUUCUCCCAGUAGGACUAGAAACCUGUUCCUCUUUCUCCCAGUAGGACUAGAAACCUGUUCCUCUUUCUCCCAGUAGGACUAGAAACCUGUUCUCUUUCUCCCAGUAGGACUAGAAACCUGUUCCUCUUUCUCCCAGUAGGACUAGAAACCUGUUCCUCUUUCUCCCAGUAGGACUAGAAACCUGUUCCUCUUUCUCCCAAUAGGACUAAAACAGGCCAUUUUGGAGUCACUGUUAUUGUAAAUAAGAACAGAUUGUUUCUAAACGCUUCUACAUUAAUGUGGAUGUUACCGUGAUAAUCCUGAAUUAAUCCACAUUUAAUGUAGAAGUGUUUAGAAACAUUAUAUUCUUAUUUAAGGUUAAAGUGACUCCAC
rnacentral:lncRNA from 1 species